CUACGGUGCUGAAGCAACAAAUGCCCUGCUUCCAGGAAAAGCCUCUAAGCAUCAGGUAACAUCAAAUCGUACCCCAAACCGACACAGGUGGUCAGGUAGAGAAUACCAAGGCGCUUGAGAGAACUCGGGUGAAGGAACUAGGCAAAAUGGUGCCGUAACUUCGGGAGAAGGCACGCUGACACGUAGGUGAAGUGAUUUACUCAUGGAGCUGAAGUCAGUCGAAGAUACCAGCUGGCUGCAACUGUUUAUUAAAAACACAGCACUGUGCAAACACGAAAGUGGACGUAUACGGUGUGACGCCUGCCCGGUGCCGGAAGGUUAAUUGAUGGGGUCAGCGCAAGCGAAGCUCCUGAUCGAAGCCCCGGUAAACGGCGGCCGUAACUAUAACGGUCCUAAGGUAGCGAAAUUCCUUGUCGGGUAAGUUCCGACCUGCACGAAUGGCGUAAUGAUGGCCAGGCUGUCUCCACCCGAGACUCAGUGAAAUUGAACUCGCUGUGAAGAUGCAGUGUACCCGCGGCAAGACGGAAAGACCCCGUGAACCUUUACUAUAGCUUGACACUGAACAUUGAGCCUUGAUGUGUAGGAUAGGUGGGAGGCUUUGAAGUGUGGACGCCAGUCUGCAUGGAGCCGGCCUUGAAAUACCACCCUUUAAUGUUUGAUGUUCUAACGUGGACCCGUGAUCCGGGUUGCGGACAGUGUCUGGUGGGUAGUUUGACUGGGGCGGUCUCCUCCUAAAGAGUAACGGAGGAGCACGAAGGUUGGCUAAUCCUGGUCGGACAUCAGGAGGUUAGUGCAAUGGCAUAAGCCAGCUUGACUGCGAGCGUGACGGCGCGAGCAGGUGCGAAAGCAGGUCAUAGUGAUCCGGUGGUUCUGAAUGGAAGGGCCAUCGCUCAACGGAUAAAAGGUACUCCGGGGAUAACAGGCUGAUACCGCCCAAGAGUUCAUAUCGACGGCGGUGUUUGGCACCUCGAUGUCGGCUCAUCACAUCCUGGGGCUGAAGUAGGUCCCAAGGGUAUGGCUGUUCGCCAUUUAAAGUGGUACGCGAGCUGGGUUUAGAACGUCGUGAGACAGUUCGGUCCCUAUCUGCCGUGGGCGCUGGAGAACUGAGGGGGGCUGCUCCUAGUACGAGAGGACCGGAGUGGACGCAUCACUGGUGUUCGGGUUGUCAUGCCAAUGGCACUGCCCGGUAGCUAAAUGCGGAAGAGAUAAGUGCUGAAAGCAUCUAAGCACGAAACUUGCCCCGAGAUGAGUUCUCCCUGAGACUUUAGGUCUCCUGAAGGAACGUUGAAGACGACGACGUUGAUAGGCCGGGUGUGUAAGCGCAGCGAUGCGUUGAGCUAACCGGUACUAAUGAACCGUGAGGCUUAACCUUACA
rnacentral:rRNA from 2 species